rnacentral:rRNA from 1 species
AUUGAACGCUGGCGGCAUGCCUAACACAUGCAAGUCGAACGGUAACGCGGGGGCAACCCUGGCGACGAGUGGCGGACGGGUGAGUAAUACGUAGGAAUCUGCCCAUUAGUGGGGGACAACCCGGGGAAACCCGGGCUAAUACCGCAUACGCUCUACGGAGGAAAGCGGGGGAUCGCAAGACCUCGCGCUAAUGGAUGAGCCUACGUCGGAUUAGCUAGUUGGUAGGGUAACGGCCUACCAAGGCGACGAUCCGUAGCUGGUCUGAGAGGACGAUCAGCCACACUGGGACUGAGACACGGCCCAGACUCCUACGGGAGGCAGCAGUGGGGAAUAUUGGACAAUGGGCGCAAGCCUGAUCCAGCAAUGCCGCGUGUGUGAAGAAGGCCUGCGGGUUGUAAAGCACUUUCAGUAGGGAAGAAAAGCCUAGGGUUAAUAACCCUGAGUCUUGACGUUACCUAAAGAAGAAGCACCGGCUAACUCCGUGCCAGCAGCCGCAGUAAGAC